GGGGAUAUAGCUCAGAGGUAUAGUAUCUGCCUGGCAAGCACAAGGUCCUGGGUUCAAUUUCUGGUACCA
rnacentral:tRNA from 1 species